rnacentral:rRNA from 1 species
CACGGGGGGAGCGAGCGUUGUUCGGAAUCACUGGGCGUAAAGGGCGCGUAGGCGGCCCUCUUAGUCGCGUGUGAAAGCCCCGGGCUCAACCUGGGAACGGCGCGCGAAACGGGAGGGCUGGAGUUCGGGAGAGGAGAGUGGAAUUCCCAGUGUAGAGGUGAAAUUCGUAGAUAUUGGGAAGAACACCGGUGGCGAAGGCGGCUCUCUGGACCGAGACUGACGCUGAGGCGCGAAAGCGUGGGGAGCGAACAGG